rnacentral:misc_RNA from 1 species
GAUGAAGAACGUAGCGAAAUGUGAUAAGUAAUGUGAAUUGCAGAAUUCAGUGAAUCAUCGAAUCUUUGAACGCACAUUGCGCCCCUUGGUAUUCCGAGGGGCAUGCCUGUUCGAGCGUCAUUAUAACCCCUCAAGCUCAGCUUGGUGUUGGGGCCUGCUGCACUGGCAGCCCUUAAAAUCAGUGGCGGCGCCAUCUGGCUCUAAGCGUAGUAAUUCUUCUCGCUAUGGAGUCCUGGUGGAUGCUUGCCAUCAACCCCCAAUUUUUCUAUGGUUGACCUCGGAUCAGGGAGGGAUACCCGCUGAACUUAAGCAUAUCAAUAAGCGGAGGA